GGUUCUUCUCAAGUUAUAAAUCAGCCUGGAUCUCAGGGGAUAGCAAGACAAGAGGUUGGCAUUCCAAUUGGAGAGAGUAGACAAACUGAACCAAAUGCACAAAAUGUGCCUUCUUCACAAACCAUUAGGUUUAUGCAUUAUGGUGGUUCUCCACUAAUAAAUUAGGCUGAGUCUGGAAGUCAGGGACUAGAUGUAAGCCAGGAGAUUCCUUCUCCUAUGGAAGAAACGAGACCAACUCAACCAAGUACUAAAAUAGCACAACCAUAUGCACAAACUGAAGCACAUGUGCAAACUAUUAGAUGGAUGCCUGAUGGUUCUUAUUAGGUUAUAAAUACACAACAAAGCUGUGUCAGUGGAGCUACCUAUGAAAAUCAAACUACACAUCGACAAAGACAACAGGGGAGACAAAUUCCAUCAAGAUAUAUGAAAGAUUUAUCUCAGACUACAAAUAUGGCCAAAACAAAAAGAAAUAUGCCUCUAAGAGUCAAUACUACUAUUGAUGAAAAAAAAGAAGGAGCUAUCUAAAAGUGCGCAUGCUAAAAAAGAUUGCUUCUAGCGAGGCUGUACACGUUGUAGGAGUAUUACAUAAGAUAGUUGAUUUGCUCUUGUUUUUGGGUUUUUUCUUUUUAGCUAAGCACAUGUAUA